CAGGCCACAUAGAUGCCAACAAUACUAUCGUGACUGUGUGUGUUGUGGUUGCCAUCAUCAUAAUCCUCGUUGUAGGUUAUAUUCAUCAUCGAACGAAACAAAAAAGCAAAGCUUGAAUUGGACGCAGUGGACUGGUGUGUCUAUUACAUGAUCUGCCGUGAUAUCAGAUACCAGAGAAACCAUUGAAAACACAGUGUAUGCAGUUCCUGAGGUUAUCCAAACAACACCACCUGUGGAACAGAGUCCAAUCAGUGAUGCUUCUCCAACAUCCACCUAUAGCUUUGUGAGACCUCACACUGGACCCAACGGAUCCACUGAGGCCAGAAGCAAAGCUUUGCCUGAGAGCUUGUAUGCCCAGGUAGAAAUUCAUCCCAGAUCCUAAAACCUCUUCAGAAAUUCUAAUUCAAAGUUUAAAAAGUAACUGCCUACCAAAGGCAAUACAAUUGUCAAAGUCCUCUUGGAGAAAAAAAGGGAAGAAGAGAAAGUAUAUCACACAUGUAGAGAAAGAUUUUAUGUUGAGGACUAACUGAGGCUUCUGUAAGGUGUGCUUUUGAUGGACUCAUGAACUUUGCUACAGUGUUCUGGUUUCUAUAUACAGCUUUAUAUAUAUAUAUUUUUUAUUACAUUUUUGAUGAAUGUGUUGUAAGGAGCACACCUUAAAGUAAAGUUAGUAUUGCCUAAUACUUAUUUAUACAUGUUUUUGAAGACUUGAGUUAUUUUUUCUCUUUGGCAGCAGUUGCUCAACACAAACAAA
ensembl:lncRNA